UACGGAGGGUGCGAGCGUUGUUCGGAAUUACUGGGCGUAAAGCGCGUGCAGGCGGCCGACUAAGUCAGGUGUGAAAGCCCGGGGCUCACCUCCGGAAGUGCGCUUGAAACUGGUCGGCUAGAGUACGGGAGAGGGAAGCGGAAUUCCUGGUGUAGCGGUGAAAUACGUAGAUAUCAGGAGGAACACCGGCGGCGAAGGCGGCUUCCUGGACCGAUACUGACGCUGAGACGCGAAAGCGUGGGGAGCAAACAGG
rnacentral:rRNA from 1 species